rnacentral:rRNA from 1 species
GACGAACGCUGGCGGCGUGCUUAACACAUGCAAGUCGAACGGAAAGGCCCUGCUUGCCGGGUGCUCGAGUGGCGAACGGGUGAGUAACACGUGGGUGAUCUGCCCCUUACUUUGGGAUAAGCCUGGGAAACUGGGUCUAAUACUGGAUAGGACCAUGCUGUAGGUGGUGUGGUGGAAAGAUUAGUUUCGGUAAGGGAUGAGCUCGCGGCCUAUCAGCUUGUUGGUGGGGUAAUGGCCUACCAAGGCGUCGACGGGUAGCCGGCCUGAGAGGGUGGACGGCCACAUUGGGACUGAGAUACGGCCCAGACUCCUACGGGAGGCAGCAGUGGGGAAUAUUGCACAAUGGGCGCAAGCCGGAUGCAGCGACGCCGCGUGGGGGAUGACGGCCUUCGGGUUGUAAACUCCUUUCAGCCAUGACGAAGCCCUUGUGGUGACGGUAGUGGCAGAAGAAGCACCGGCUAACUACGUG